AGCCCCGUACACAAAAAUGCACAUGCUGUGAGCUCGAUGAGUAGGGCGGGACACGUGGUAUCCUGUCUGAAUAUGGGGGGACCAUCCUCCAAGGCUAAAUACUCCUGACUGACCGAUAGUGAACCAGUACCGUGAGGGAAAGGCGAAAAGAACCCCGGCGAGGGGAGUGAAAAAGAACCUGAAACCGUGUACGUACAAGCAGUGGGAGCCUCUUAAUGGGGUGACUGCGUACCUUUUGUAUAAUGGGUCAGCGACUUAUAUUCUGUAGCAAGGUUAACCGAAUAGGGGAGCCGAAGGGAAACCGAGUCUUAACUGGGCGUUAAGUUGCAGGGUAUAGACCCGAAACCCGGUGAUCUAGCCAUGGGCAGGUUGAAGGUUGGGUAACACUAACUGGAGGACCGAACCGACUAAUGUUGAAAAAUUAGCGGAUGACUUGUGGCUGGGGGUGAAAGGCCAAUCAAACCGGGAGAUAGCUGGUUCUCCCCGAAAGCUAUUUAGGUAGCGCCUCGUGAAUUCAUCUCCGGGGGUAGAGCACUGUUUCGGCAAGGGGGUCAUCCCGACUUACCAACCCGAUGCAAACUGCGAAUACCGGAGAAUGUUAUCACGGGAGACACACGGCGGGUGCUAACGUCCGUCGUGAAGAGGGAAACAACCCAGACCGCCAGCUAAGGUCCCAAAGUCAUGGUUAAGUGGGAAACGAUGUGGGAAGGCCCAGACAGCCAGGAUGUUGGCUUAGAAGCAGCCAUCAUUUAAAGAAAGCGUAAUAGCUCACUGGUCGAGUCGGCCUGCGCGGAAGAUGUAACGGGGCUAAACCAUGCACCGAAGCUGCGGCAGCGACACUAUGUGUUGUUGGGUAGGGGAGCGUUCUGUAAGCCUGUGAAGGUGUGCUGUGAGGCAUGCUGGAGGUAUCAGAAGUGCGAAUGCUGACAUAAGUAACGAUAAAGCGGGUGAAAAGCCCGCUCGCCGGAAGACCAAGGGUUCCUGUCCAACGUUAAUCGGGGCAGGGUGAGUCGACCCCUAAGGCGAGGCCGAAAGGCGUAGUCGAUGGGAAACAGGUUAAUAUUCCUGUACUUGGUGUUACUGCGAAGGGGGGACGGAGAAGGCUAUGUUGGCCGGGCGACGGUUGUCCCGGUUUAAGCGUGUAGGCUGGUUUUCCAGGCAAAUCCGGAAAACCAAGGCUGAGGCGUGAUGACGAGGCACUACGGUGCUGAAGCGACAAAUGCCCUGCUUCCAGGAAAAGCCUCUAAGCAUCAGGUAACAUCAAAUCGUACCCCAAACCGACACAGGUGGUCAGGUAGAGAAUACCAAGGCGCUUGAGAGAACUCGGGUGAAGGAACUAGGCAAAAUGGUGCCGUAACUUCGGGAGAAGGCACGCUGAUAUGUAGGUGAAGCGACUUGCUCGUGGAGCUGAAAUCAGUCGAAGAUACCAGCUGGCUGCAACUGUUUAUUAAAAACACAGCACUGUGCAAACACGAAAGUGGACGUAUACGGUGUGACGCCUGCCCGGUGCCGGAAGGUUAAUUGAUGGGGUUAGCGGUAACGCGAAGCUCUUGAUCGAAGCCCCGGUAAACGGCGGCCGUAACUAUAACGGUCCUAAGGUAGCGAAAUUCCUUGUCGGGUAAGUUCCGACCUGCACGAAUGGCGUAAUGAUGGCCAGGCUGUCUCCACCCGAGACUCAGUGAAAUUGAACUCGCUGUGAAGAUGCAGUGUACCCGCGGCAAGACGGAAAGACCCCGUGAACCUUUACUAUAGCUUGACACUGAACAUUGAGCCUUGAUGUGUAGGAUAGGUGGGAGGCUUUGAAGUGUGGACGCCAGUCUGCAUGGAGCCGACCUUGAAAUACCACCCUUUAAUGUUUGAUGUUCUAACGUUGGCCCGUAAUCCGGGUUGCGGACAGUGUCUGGUGGGUAGUUUGACUGGGGCGGUCUCCUCCUAAAGAGUAACGGAGGAGCACGAAGGUUGGCUAAUCCUGGUCGGACAUCAGGAGGUUAGUGCAAUGGCAUAAGCCAGCUUGACUGCGAGCGUGACGGCGCGAGCAGGUGCGAAAGCAGGUCAUAGUGAUCCGGUGGUUCUGAAUGGAAGGGCCAUCGCUCAACGGAUAAAAGGUACUCCGGGGAUAACAGGCUGAUACCGCCCAAGAGUUCAUAUCGACGGCGGUGUUUGGCACCUCGAUGUCGGCUCAUCACAUCCUGGGGCUGAAGUAGGUCCCAAGGGUAUGGCUGUUCGCCAUUUAAAGUGGUACGCGAGCUGGGUUUAGAACGUCGUGAGACAGUUCGGUCCCUAUCUGCCGUGGGCGCUGGAGAACUGAGGGGGGCUGCUCCUAGUACGAGAGGACCGGAGUGGACGCAUCACUGGUGUUCGGGUUGUCAUGCCAAUGGCACUGCCCGGUAGCUAAAUGCGGAAGAGAUAAGUGCUGAAAGCAUCUAAGCACGAAACUUGCCCCGAGAUGAGUUCUCCCUGAGACUUAGAGUCUCCUGAAGGAACGUUGAAGACGACGACGUUGAUAGGCCGGGUGUGUAAGCGCAGCGAUGCGUUGAGCUAACCGGUACUAAUGAACCGUGAGGCUUAACCUU
rnacentral:rRNA from 1 species